rfam:Schistosoma rodhaini strain Burundi genome assembly, scaffold: SROB_scaffold0009399
AUCCAGCUGACGAGUCCCAAAUAUGACGAAGUGAUGUGCGUCUUGGAU